rnacentral:rRNA from 1 species
CCUACGGGUGGCAGCAGUGGGGAAUAUUGCACAAUGGGGGAAACCCUGAUGCAGCGACGCCGCGUGAAGGAAGACGUAUUUCGGUAUGUAAACUUCUAUCAGCAGGGAAGAAAGUGACGGUACCUGACUCAGAAGCCCCGGCUAACUACGUGCCAGCAGCCGCGGGAAUACGUAGGGGGCAAGCGUUAUUCGGAUUUACUGGGUGUAAAGGGAGCGUAGGCGGCGAUGCAAGUCAGGAGUGAAAGCCCGGGGCUCAACGCCGGGACUGCUUUUGAAACUGUAUGGCUAGAUUGCAGGAGAGGCAAGUGGAAUGCCUAGUGUAGCGGUGAAAUGCGUAGAUAUUAGGAGGAACACCAGUUGCGAAGGCGGCUUGCUGGACUGUAAAUGACGCUGAGGCUCGAAAGCGUGGGGAGCAAACAGGAUUAGAUACCCCAGUAGUC